rnacentral:rRNA from 1 species
UAGGGAAUCUUCCGCAAUGGACGAAAGUCUGACGGAGCAACGCCGCGUGAGCGAAGAAGGUCUUCGGAUCGUAAAGCUCUGUUGUCAGGGAAGAACAAGUACCGUUCGAACAGGGCGGUACCUUGACGGUACCUGACCAGAAAGCCACGGCUAACUACGUGCCAGCAGCCGCGGUAA